rnacentral:rRNA from 1 species
ACGCUAGCUACAGGCUUAACACAUGCAAGUCGAGGGGAAACGGCAUUAAGUGCUUGCACUUUUUGGGCGUCGACCGGCGCACGGGUGAGUAACGCGUAUCCAACCUUCCCAUGACUAAGGGAUAACCUGCCGAAAGGCAGACUAAUACCUUAUGGUCUUCACUGACGGCAUCAGAUGUGAAGUAAAGAUUUAUCGGUUAUGGAUGGGGAUGCGUCUGAUUAGUUAGUUGGCGGGGUAACGGCCCACCAAGGCAACGAUCAGUAGGGGUUCUGAGAGGAAGGUCCCCCACAUUGGAACUGAGACACGGUCCAAACUCCUACGGGAGGCAGCAGUGAGGAAUAUUGGUCAAUGGGCGAGAGCCUGAACCAGCCAAGUAGCGUGCAGGAUGACGGCCCUAUGGGUUGUAAACUGCUUUUGUAUGAGGAUAAAGUCAAUCACGUGUGAUUGUUUGCAGGUACCAUACGAAUAAGGACCGGCUAAUUCCGUGCCAGCAGCCGCGGUAAUACGGAAGGUCCGGGCGUUAUCCGGAUUUAUUGGGUUUAAAGGGAGCGUAGGCUGGAGAUUAAGUGUGUUGUGAAAUGUAGACGCUCAACGUCUGACUUGCAGCGCAUACUGGUUUCCUUGAGUACGCACAACGUUGGCGGAAUUCGUCGUGUAGCGGUGAAAUGCUUAGAUAUGACGAAGAACUCCGAUUGCGAAGGCAGCUGACGGGAGCGCAACUGACGCUGAAGCUCGAAGGUGCGGGUAUCGAACAGGAUUAGAUACCCUGGUAGUCCGCACAGUAAACGAUGGAUGCCCGCUGUUGGUACGUGGUAUCAGCGGCUAAGCGAAAGCAUUAAGCAUCCCACCUGGGGAGUACGCCGGCAACGGUGAAACUCAAAGGAAUUGACGGGGGCCCGCACAAGCGGAGGAACAUGUGG